rnacentral:rRNA from 1 species
GACGAACGCUGGCGGCGCGCCUAACACAUGCAAGUCGAACGAGCGAGAGAGAGCUUGCUUUCUCAAGCGAGUGGCGAACGGGUGAGUAACGCGUGAGGAACCUGCCUCAAAGAGGGGGACAACAGUUGGAAACGACUGCUAAUACCGCAUAAGCCCACGACCCGGCAUCGGGUAGAGGGAAAAGGAGCAAUCCGCUUUGAGAUGGCCUCGCGUCCGAUUAGCUAGUUGGUGAGGUAACGGCCCACCAAGGCGACGAUCGGUAGCCGGACUGAGAGGUUGAACGGCCACAUUGGGACUGAGACACGGCCCAGACUCCUACGGGAAGCAGCAGUGGGGAAUAUUGCACAAUGGGGGAAACCCUGAUGCAGCGACGCCGCGUGGAGGAAGAAGGUCUUCGGAUUGUAAACUCCUGUUGUUGAGGAAGAUAAUGACGGUACUCAACAAGGAAGUGACGGCUAACUACGUG